rnacentral:misc_RNA from 1 species
CUUUUCUUUUCCUUUCUUUUCUUGGAAAAUAAAGUUGUUACCGAUCUGUGUUUCCUAUAUACGAGGCUGCUUUUAAGGCCGUGUUUGGAUCUUUCUAUUUACUGCUACUUCAUCACUGCUGCUGCAAUUAAUGGCUGUUCCAUCUCAGAAACACUCUCAAAAGCCUGUUGAAGAAAUGAUGAGGAAUCUUAAAGUUGAUGAAGCUUCCGUAGAACUCACCGAUUCUAAUAUGGUUCCUUCAAAGGAUGGGAGCCCUUCAGAUGCAACGUCAUGUAUUUCAUCCACAGGAGAUGCAACAGUUAGUGUCAAGGAAGGCGAUGUAGAUCGUGAAUCCUUGACAACUGCCCAAGGCUUGCCAAAUCCAUCAUGUGGCUACUAUGGAUAUUUCUAUCCAGGUUAUGAUGGCACUUUUGGAGGGCUGGACGACCAAGCAUACUAUGUGGCUUGUGAUGGAAUGCAACUUCAAUAUCCAGUCAUGCAAGCAGAUAAUGGAUCUUUGAUCUACUUAAUGCCAGGAAUACACCCAGGUUACAGUCCAUACUUACCUGUAAACAUGUUUGGCAUAGAUGGACAGCAUGUUGUCCAACAACCAUUUCCUUCAAACCCCAUGUUACAACCAUCAAUUGCCCCUGGAUAUAUUCCAACUCCUUUUCUAGUGCCACCACCCUACCUGUGGGAUCCAUCUGUUUAUGUUGGGGAGGGAGCAUAUGGAAAUGGCUAUAGUGGAAUUGUGGAAAUUUCUGGCUCUAAACCUAACAUGUCAUCUCACAGUCAUACCCAUGCUCAUUCAAAAAAUUUAUGGACUCCUGACUUUAGUGAUUCACUAGAAAAUAAGAGCUCCCUUCCGACAUUAGAUGCAUCAUCUGGUCAUGGCAUGCAUAACCAGUUAAAAUCAGUGGCCAAGGUAUUUUAGUCCUCUUCUUUUCAGUUGAUUUUGAUGAACAUCUUUUAGGCUUUACGCCAUGUCUGAUGUCUCUACAUUUCAGUCAGAUGUAUCACUUGAAGGUUAUUUUCCAUUGGCCAAGUUUCCACCAUAUAAUCAAGGGAAGGGUGGAGUGCUCUAUCCAAACACCCCUGUUAAAGCAAGUGCAAGGGGUUGGAGCAACACUGAAAAGCCAAAAGCAAGAAGCAAGAUUGGUAACAUUAGCGAUUUUGGCUUCCUCAAUGAGCAGAAUUAUGGUCCUAGGACAACUAAUGCUAAGGGUUCUUUUACUUUUGGAGGUAAUGCUGCUGGAUCUUUGGAUACUGACGGGAACGGAAACAGUAACAGCCUAACUUCUGUAAUUAGGAGGGAUCAAUAUAACCUUCCUGAUUUUCCAACCAAAUACGAUCAUGCGUUUUUCUUUGUUAUCAAAUCUUACAGUGAAGAUGAUAUUCAUAAGAGCAUCAAGUACAAUGUGUGGGCCAGUACCCCUAAUGGAAAUAAGAGACUGGAUAGUGCAUAUCAAGAUGCACAAGAGAAAAUGGCAGAGAAAGGCAGCAAUUGUCCUGUGUUCCUUUUCUUUUCAGUAAAUGCAAGUGGCCAGUUCUGUGGAGUAGCC